GCUGGACUGAAACUGCCUAGUCAUUCAAUGCUGGAAGCUUCUGCGCGCGCCGCGCGCCCAUGCGCGGUGCGGCAUCUUGGCUCACUGCCAUGCGCGCGUGCGCCACACUUCUGCGCGCGCCCGCACGCGGUGCGGCAUAUUGGCUCACUGCCAUGCGGCGGUGCGGCGUGCACCACGUCACCUGUGAGUCUAUACGUGCGCGCCACACAGUCGCGCCACAUUGGCUCACUCUGGUGCGCCGCGCACGGCACAGCAGGACCCAUGCACCAUGCGCCCAACCGGGCGCCUCGUGUACCCGCGCGCGCAUGCGCAUGACUGCCACGUCAUGCGCCGCAUCACCUACCACUUGGUCCUUGCAACCCUUGUGUUUCACCACGCGCGCGCGGUCAAAAAUACAAAGGCGGCUCUCAAGCGGCUCGCGGCGAUGCGAGCGUGCGAAGUGCGCCAUCAAAGCGCCACAUUGCGCCUCAUCGCCCACGCCACGCGCGCGCGAGCGUGUGCGAGUUAGGGUGCUCCGCACCCUUCGCGAGGACACUAG
rnacentral:lncRNA from 1 species